GCGAGCGGGGUUUUAUCGCGCCUAAAGCCAUCCAGCUGUGAAAUAUAUACCAAAAUAGGUGAAUAUUUAGGACAUUUCACGAACAGAUCGUGCAGGUGCUUUAUAACUAACAGGUGAGAUGUUGUUGCAGUAAAAAAUAUUCAUUUAAAUACAAUUAUUAAAGUUGUAUAACGUAGAAUAUGUUUUGUCUUUCAGUUUCUUCAUAUUUAACUAAAUUCCACUAUGAUGAUUUCGUAAUGCUAGUCAUGUUUACUGUCGAAUAAUGAUACUAUUCUUUCAUUUUCACUGUGGAGCGAAUCAUUAGUAUUGUAUAUGCGGUGCAUUUUCACUGUAUAAUUAUUAUUUUUUUAUCUAUUACAGCUCAUUUCUUUAAGAAUUGAAUGCUUCUUUUUGUAAAUUUAUUGGGUGGUAAAAGCGUUGACCGAAGUACAUUUUGUAUGAAGCGCGGAAGCGC
rnacentral:lncRNA from 1 species